AAUGAACGCUGGCGGCAGGCCUAACACAUGCAAGUCGAACGGGACCUCCGGGACUAGUGGCGGACGGGUGAGUAACGCGUGGGAACGUGCCCUUUGCUUCGGAAUAGCCCCGGGAAACUGGGAGUAAUACCGGAUGUGCCCUUUGGGGGAAAGAUUUAUCGGCAAAGGAUCGGCCCGCGUUGGAUUAGGUAGUUGGUGGGGUAAUGGCCUACCAAGCCGACGAUCCAUAGCUGGUUUGAGAGGAUGAUCAGCCACACUGGGACUGAGACACGGCCCAGACUCCUACGGGAGGCAGCAGUGGGGAAUCUUAGACAAUGGGGGAAACCCUGAUCUAGCCAUGCCGCGUGAUCGAUGAAGGCCUUAGGGUUGUAAAGAUCUUUCAGCUGGGAAGAUAAUGACUGUACCAGCAGAAGAAGCCCCGGCUAACUCCGUGCCAGCCGCCGCGGUAAGAC
rnacentral:rRNA from 1 species